GGCGGCCGGCGGGCAGCCCGCGCCUCGCCCCGGCACCCCCUCAGCUCCCCGCGGGGCUGGGGCAGGGGCGGGCCGGCCUCCCGGCCCCGGCAGCGGCGGUGUGUGCGGCCAUGGCGGCGGGGACAUCGGCGUGUGGGGGAAAGCGUGUGGAUGGGUACCCAAACAGUCCUGCAGACUGGAAAGUGCCAACUCCGUUGGGACACAGGCAGUGCUGGUUCUGCACCAUAGUGGUCACCCGUGGAAGGAGGUGGAGAGCGUUGUCUCCUAGUCAUCGAGGAGGCUGCAGAUGGACCACAGCCCUGCACCGCCACACUGUCCAACAAAUUUGUCUACAACAAAUUGUGCCAUCAUAUGGCUGCUCACUUCCAGGAAUCAGAGUGGCUGAAGACUAGAGUCCUGCUAUCUGCAGGGCAUCCUCUAGGAGAAAGGAGGGCUGAAGAGAUGAAAGUCUCCAUUGGCAAAAUGCCAAUAUUACAGGAAGCAAACCAGAGGACCGGAGGCUCAGGAGCUGAUAAGAAUGGAG
rnacentral:lncRNA from 1 species